UAAUAAGUGUUUUCAUGGCACUUUUUAAAUCCAUAUCCACCUUGUGUGCAAUGUCAGUCGAUCUUUUCGUCCAUGAAAAGGAUCGACCAAACAUCAACCUUUAUUUAAUUGAACUCUUUGUCUGAAAAAUAUUAUGAAUAAACUAAUUCAAAAUA
rnacentral:misc_RNA from 1 species